GUGGCAACUCUCUGGCGCCAAAAGAGAAUUUGAUUUGAUUGCAUUUAAAAAGUUGGUUUUGCCAGCGAGCCCAGGAAUACUAUAUUUAAUUUUUAAUAAUUGCGGUAGUGGCUCUUAAAAUGAAAAUGGUUACAUGAUAUUCACGCCGCGUCGUCAUAGGCCUCUAAAACGAUUCUUUAAUCGUUAACAAUUCAUGGUAUCUGCCUGCUACGUAUUUCCGGACAACAUCGUCAUCUUAUUGCGUAUGACGUCAUGGAUAAACUAGGUCACGGACUUAUUACGCAGCAAAACUGCAGCAUAACUCCCUUUGUCCUCAAUAACAGUUUAGGUUUUCCAACCACCGAAUUUUCAACCUUUCAGAAGGCAGCAUACCUGUAUUUUUCCUCAUACUACGCCGUCGUUUGCCUGAAAAGACCUUGAACCGGGUUGCAUUUGAAAUUGCGAAAUGCGCAUGACUCAGCGAACCCCCAUACCUUCCCAUUCCCUUCUAUUAAAAACAGUGAGCGAAUGCACCCUAACAGAUUUUGCGGGUUCUUUGCUACCGAAGCUAGAAACUGGGUCAACUACGCAAUAGCAUUACGAUUAUGAUGAUUUAUGGUUUUGGAGGAGUCGAAUGAAUGCGUAUGCUAGGGAUGGUGUUGCAUUAAAAAUGUAUUUAUUAACUUAGAUUCAACCAAAUUUAGUCUUGGAUAAGAUAAAUCGAGCAAUCCGAUGUCCGCUCUUGGGGGUGACAGUACCGAACACACUGCAUUGGUACAUUAUAUCGCAAUAUUGAUGGAGUUUCUUAAGUUAAUUAAAUAUUACUACUGCUAAAUAUUAUGUACACUUGGACAAAAAUACAUCGGAGGUGCAUGCACACCUCCUCUAUAUGACAUUGUUUGGUGUAGCCUUCAAAACUAAUUUAUUUUGGAUUCAAGUCUCUGUGCGGGUGAAGAGAAAUAUAUUGAGAGAGAGAAAGAGUGUUCAUUAGAGCCAAACGAUUUUUGAGGAUGUCGGUGUGGUUGGGGUGGAACUGGGGAGUGCGCUGGCGGUACUGCGCUGCACUGCACUGUAACGAUCCGAUCUGUUAAGCUGGUGUUUAGAAUUGCAUUCGCGUUGCUUGUUGUAUGUCUGUUGCUGGAGUUGUUCUGGCUGUUCAGCUAGCUAACUUAAUUACAAUCUUAUCUACAUGCUAAACAUGUCCGCCUUUUUCUUUCGAGUCU